GGUCGCAUAGCGCAGUUGUAGCACGUCCGCUUUGCAAGCGGAAGGCCCCGGGUUCAAUCCCCGGUGUGUCCA
rnacentral:tRNA from 1 species